rnacentral:rRNA from 1 species
UACGUAGGGGGCAAGCGUUGUCCGGAAUUAUUGGGCGUAAAGAGCUUGUAGGCGGUUUGUCGCGUCUGCUGUGAAAUUUCGGGGCUCAACCCCGAACUUGCAGUGGGUACGGGCAGACUAGAGUGUGGUAGGGGAGACUGGAAUUCCUGGUGUAGCGGUGAAAUGCGCGGAUAUCAGGAGGAACACCGAUGGCGAAGGCAGGUCUCUGGGCCACUACUGACGCUGAGAAGCGAAAGCAUGGGGAGCGAACAGG